UACAGAGGGGGCAAGCGUUGUUCGGAAUUACUGGGCGUAAAGGGCUCGUAGGCGGCCAACUAAGUCAGACGUGAAAUCCCCAGGCUCAACCUGGGAACUGCGUCUGAUACUGGAUGGCUUGAAUCCGGGAGAGGGAUGCAGAAUUCCAGGUGUAGCGGUGAAAUGCGUAGAUAUCGAGAGGAACACCAGUGGCGAAGGCGAGUCUCUGGACGACUCCUGACACUGAGGCACGAAAGCUGGGGGAGCAAACAGG
rnacentral:rRNA from 1 species